rnacentral:rRNA from 1 species
UGCCGCUAGGUAUCAUGGAGCCAAUGGUGAAAUACCGCCCUUUAUUUAUCUGGAGUCUAACUCCCCACGGGAGGACAUUGUAUGGUGGGUAGUUUGACUGGGGUGGUCGCCUCCAAAAGUGUAACGGAGGCUUUCAAAGGUACCCUCAGUACGCUUGGUAACCGUACGUAGAGUGCAAUGGCAUAAGGGUGCUUGACUGAGAGACUUACAAGUCGAUCAGGUUGGAAACAAGAGCUUAGUGAUCCGGUGGUUCCGCAUGGAAGGGCCAUCGCUCAAAGGAUAAAAGGUACUCCGGGGAUAACAGGCUGAUCUCCCCCAAGAGCUCAUAUCGAC